CUUUGUGGUUCACUGAUUUGAAGAGCUUGCUCAGAUAUGACGAUGGACAUUGCAAAGAGUGGCGAACGGGUGAGUAACACGUGGGAAACCUACCUCUUAGCAGGGGAUAACAUUUGGAAACAGAUGCUAAUACCGUAUAACAAUGACAACCGCAUGGUUGUUAUUUAAAAGAUGGUUCUGCUAUCACUAAGAGAUGGUCCCGCGGUGCAUUAGCUAGUUGGUAAGGUAAUGGCUUACCAAGGCGAUGAUGCAUAGCCGAGUUGAGAGACUGAUCGGCCACAAUGGGACUGAGACACGGCCCAUACUCCUACGGGAGGCAGCAGUAGGGAAUCUUCCACAAUGGGCGAAAGCCUGAUGGAGCAACGCCGCGUGUGUGAUGAAGGGUUUCGGCUCGUAAAACACUGUUGUAAGAGAAGAAUGACAUUGAGAGUAACUGUUCAAUGUGUGACGGUAUCUUACCAGAAAGGAACGGCUAAAUACGUGCCAGCAGCCGCGGUAAUACGUAUGUUCCAAGCGUUAUCCGGAUUUAUUGGGCGUAAAGCGAGCGCAGACGGUUAUUUAAGUCUGAAGUGAAAGCCCUCAGCUCAACUGAGGAAUUGCUUUGGAAACUGGAUGACUUGAGUGCAGUAGAGGAAAGUGGAACUCCAUGUGUAGCGGUGAAAUGCGUAGAUAUAUGGAAGAACACCAGUGGCGAAGGCGGCUUUCUGGACUGUAACUGACGUUGAGGCUCGAAAGUGUGGGUAGCAAACAGGAUUAGAUACCCUGGUAGUCCACACCGUAAACGAUGAGUGCUAGGUGUUUGAGGGUUUCCGCCCUUAAGUGCCGCAGCUAACGCAUUAAGCACUCCGCCUGGGGAGUACGACCGCAAGGUUGAAACUCAAAGGAAUUGACGGGGACCCGCACAAGCGGUGGAGCAUGUGGUUUAAUUCGAAGCAACGCGAAGAACCUUACCAGGUCUUGACAUCCCUUGACAACUCCAGAGAUGGAGCGUUCCCUUCGGGGACAAGGUGACAGGUGGUGCAUGGUUGUCGUCAGCUCGUGUCGUGAGAUGUUGGGUUAAGUCCCGCAACGAGCGCAACCCUUAUUACUAGUUGCCAGCAUUCAGUUGGGCACUCUAGUGAGACUGCCGGUGACAAACCGGAGGAAGGUGGGGAUGACGUCAAAUCAUCAUGCCCCUUAUGACCUGGGCUACACACGUGCUACAAUGGCGUAUACAACGAGUUGCCAACCCGCGAGGGUGAGCUAAUCUCUUAAAGUACGUCUCAGUUCGGAUUGUAGGCUGCAACUCGCCUACAUGAAGUCGGAAUCGCUAGUAAUCGCGGAUCAGCACGCCGCGGUGAAUACGUUCCCGGGUCUUGUACACACCGCCCGUCACACCAUGAGAGUUUGUAACACCCAAAGCCGGUGG
rnacentral:rRNA from 1 species